AGAGUUUGAUCCUGGCUCAGGAUGAACGCUGGCGGCGUGCUUAAUACAUGCAAGUCGAACGGAGUAUGUAGCAAUACGUACUUAGUGGCGAACGGGUGAGUAACGCGUUGGUGACCUGCCUCGAGAGAGGGAUAACAGUCCGAAGGUUGCUAAUACCUCAUGUGAUCAUAGGGUUUAGAAGCCUGUGAUUAAAGGAGUAAUUCACUUCGAGAGGGACCUGCGUACCAUCAGCUAGUUGGUGAGGUAACGGCCCACCAAGGCGAUGACGGUUAGGGGACCUGAGAGGGUGGCCCCCCACAAUGGAACUGAAACACGGUCCAUACACCUACGGGUGGCAGCAGUAGGGAAUAUUAGUUAAUGUGCGAAAGCGCGAACUAGCAACGCCGCGUGUGCGAUGACGGCCUUCGGGUUGUAAAGCACUCUUCUAAGGGACGAGGAAGGACGGUACCUUAGGAAUAAGCAUCGGCUAACUACGUGCCAGCAGCCGCGGUAAAACGUAGGAUGCAAGCGUUAUCCGGAUUUACUGGGCGUAAAGCGCGUGUAGGCGGUUCGGUAAGUUGGAUGUGAAAGCUCCUGGCUUAACUGGGAGAGGUCGUUCAAUACUGCCGAGCUAGAGGAUGGUAGAGGAAGGUGGAAUUCCGAGUGUAGUGGUGAAAUGCGUAGAUAUUCGGAGGAACACCAGUGGCGAAAGCGGCCUUCUGGACCAUUUCUGACGCUCAGACGCGAAAGCUAGGGUAGCAAACGGGAUUAGAGACCCCGGUAGUCCUAGCCGUAAACGAUGUAGACUUGGCGUCGGCGGGUUUAAAUCCGUCGGUGUCGAAGCUAACGCGAUAAGUCUACCGCCUGGGGACUACGGCCGCAAGGUUAAAACUCAAAGGAAUUGACGGGGGCCCGCACAAGCAGCGGAGCGUGUGGUUUAAUUCGAUAUUACACGAAGAACCUUACCAGGGUUUGACAUGCAGGUAGUAGGGAUCUGAAAAGUGACCGACCUUCGGGGAGCUUGCACAGGUGCUGCAUGGCUGUCGUCAGCUCGUGUCGUGAGAUGUUCGGUUAAGUCCGCUAACGAGCGCAACCCUCGCUGUGUGUUAUAUGUGUCACACGGUACUGCCGGUCUUAAGCCGGAGGAAGGUGGGGAUGACGUCAAGUCAGCAUGGCCUUUAUAUCCUGGGCUACACACACGCUACAAUGGCCAGUACAAUAGGUUGCCAAGCCGCGAGGCGGAGCCAAUCCUAAAAAGCUGGUCUCAGUUCAGAUUGUAGGCUGCAACCCGCCUGCAUGAAGAUGGAGUUGCUAGUAACCGCAGGUCAGCCAUACUGCGGUGAAUACGUUCCCGGGCCUUGUACACACCGCCCGUCACGUCAUGGGAGCUGGCAACACCUGAAGCCGGUAGCUUAACCGUAAGGAGAGCGCCGUCGAAGGUGGGGUCGGUGACUGGGACGAAGUCGUAACAAGGUAGCCG
rnacentral:rRNA from 1 species